CCUACGGGUGGCUGCAGUGAGGAAUAUUGGUCAAUGGUCGUGAGACUGAACCAGCCAAGUAGCGUGAAGGAUGACUGCCCUACGGGUUGUAAACUGCUUUUAUGAAGGGAUAAAGUGAGGCACGUGUGCCGUUUUGUAUGUACUUCAUGAAUAAGGAUCGGCUAAUUCCGUGCCAGCAGCCGCGGUAAUACGGAGGAUCCGAGCGUUAUCCGGAUUUAUUGGGUUUAAAGGGAGCGUAGGUGGGUUGUUAAGUGAGUUGUGAAAUUUCGCGGCUCAACCGUAAAAUUGCAAUGGGUACUGGCAGUCUUGAGUACAGUGGAGGUAGGCGGAAUUCGUGGUGUAGCGGUGAAAUGCUUAGAUAUCACGAAGAACUCCGAUUGCGAAGGCAGCUUACUAAAGUGCUACUGACAUUGAUGCUCGAAAGUGUGGGUAUCAAACAGGAUUAGAUACCCGGGUAGUC
rnacentral:rRNA from 1 species